rnacentral:rRNA from 1 species
UCUGCAGAGAUGCGGAAGUGCCUUCGGGAACUGUGAGACAGGUGCUGCAUGGCUGUCGUCAGCUCGUGUUGUGAAAUGUUGGGUUAAGUCCCGCAACGAGCGCAACCCUUAUCCUUUGUUGCCAGCGGUUAGGCCGGGAACUCAAAGGAGACUGCCAGUGAUAAACUGGAGGAAGGUGGGGAUGACGUCAAGUCAUCAUGGCCCUUACGACCAGGGCUACACACGUGCUACAAUGGCGCAUACAAAGAGAAGCGACCUCGCGAGAGCAAGCGGACCUCAUAAAGUGCGUCGUAGUCCGGAUUGGAGUCUGCAACUCGACUCCAUGAAGUCGGAAUCGCUAGUAAUCGUGGAUCAGAAUGCCACGGUGAAUACGUUCCCGGGCCUUGUACACACCGCCCGUCACACCAUGGGAGUGGGUUGCAAAAGAAGUAGGUAGCUUAACCUUCGGGAGGGCGCUUACCACUUUGUGAUUCAUGACUGGGGUGAAGUCGUAACAAGGUAACCGUAGGGGAACCUGC